rnacentral:rRNA from 1 species
CGAGGAUGAACGCUAGCGACAGGCUUAACACAUGCAAGUCGAGGGGCAGCAUAAAAGUAGCAAUACUUUGGUGGCGACCGGCGCACGGGUGAGUAACGCGUAUGCAACCUACCUAUCAGAGGGGAAUAACCCGGCGAAAGUCGGACUAAUACCGCAUAAAACAGGGGCACCGCAUGGUGAUAUUUGUUAAAGAAAUUCGCUGAUAGAUGGGCAUGCGUUCCAUUAGGUAGUUGGUGAGGUAACGGCUCACCAAGCCGACGAUGGAUAGGGGAACUGAGAGGUUGGUCCCCCACACUGGUACUGAGACACGGACCAGACUCCUACGGGAGGCAGCAGUGAGGAAUAUUGGUCAAUGGGCGGGAGCCUGAACCAGCCAAGUCGCGUGAAGGAAGAAGGAUCUAUGGUUCGUAAACUUCUUUUGCAGGGGAAUAAAGUGCAGGACGUGUCCUGUUUUGUAUGUACCCUGAGAAUAAGGAUCGGCUAACUCCGUGCCAGCCGCCGC